rnacentral:lncRNA from 1 species
GUUUCUCCUCGGGGACUCCCCUGCCAGUCCCUGUAGAUCUACCGAUAUCUCGCGACACUGGGCUUCAGCUGCAGUGCCUCAGGCUUGAUGCCGUGCUUCUCUGAGAGGCUUCUGACGCCCGGGAGAUUCCAAGACUUGGUGAGGAAACUGUCUGACACCACUUUUCCUGCUGACCACUUGGUGCCUCAGCCUACUAAGAGUGUCCUUGUUUGGCUUUGGGAGACUCAAGCUCAAAUGAGAAGACAGUAAACUAAGCAAGGUGGACAUCUGCUUCAUUGGGCAUUGAGGUAGAAAGAAGAAAAAAGUCAAAGCCUAAGGCCACCGAAUUUCAGAACUUCAUUGCUGCUUUGAGCACCAGUUCUACCUCCAAGGAGGCCGAAGGGAUGCUAAAUAGUAUUUUUCACAGUUGAAGACUCCAUUUCACCUUGAUAUCCCUUAAGCGUAAUGACAGUUCUCCGUUUAGACCAAUUUAAGUAUGGAAGUUGGGAGGGAGCAGAGGGAAGCUACAGAAACUUUGCAGGGAGGAGUAGAGGCGAGAGGCCAAUACUUAUUUAUGCAAAAGGCCAGCGGACGCUUAAUUGCUUGGAGGCUUAUGUCUCAAUUUUAACUUUAUAUCCUUACCUGGGGAAAAGGAGAAUAGCAUUCAUUCAUCUGCCUAUUUAUUGAAAGUCUUCCAUGAGCAAUCACUAUAAGUGGGGGUAAAUAGAGUGGAGGUUUAGAGAGCUAGAGUGGAAAAGAAGAAGAAAAACUCAACACAAGAUUAAAAUGUGGCCUCUAUCCUUAAGAAAUAACAAUGAAGUGGGAAAAUGAAACGAAUAAACUUUUAAAAAAUUAAUUGAGCAGCAAGUGUUCAGAGGAGUUGAAAGUUCAAAAGGAGUCUUUGUUAUUUCUGUUACCCCAAUCCCAUCACACACACACAUUCACCCACCAAUACUUUACAGCUGUGCCAGGCCUCGGAUUGGUACCUUUUAUGUUCUCAAUAUGCUCUCUGA